rnacentral:rRNA from 1 species
UACGUAGGGUGCAAGCGUUAAUCGGAAUUACUGGGCGUAAAGCGUGCGCAGGCGGUUUUGUAAGCCUGUCGUGAAAGCCCCGGGCUUAACCUGGGAAUUGCGAUGGAGACUGCAAGGCUUGAAUCUGGCAGAGGGGGGUAGAAUUCCACGUGUAGCAGUGAAAUGCGUAGAGAUGUGGAGGAACACCGAUGGCGAAGGCAGCCCCCUGGGCCUGUACUGACGCUCAUGCACGAAAGCGUGGGGAGCAAACAGG